ACAUGGUUACGGGCUUGCCAACAACAACAACUACAACAACAACACCAACUACACCAACAAGUACAACAGCUACAACUACUCCGUCAAGAAAUAUGACAACUAUAACAACAACUACAACAAAACCUACUACAAUGACUACUAAUAAACCAACUACAGCAAAACCAACUACACCACCAACAACUAUUACAACAACUACACCAAUGACAAAAGAUUGAAAGAAGUUACUCAAAUGUGUCUAACUACAUUAAAGAUUCUGCAAAAGUCACUGGCUUCAGGGCUGGUAGCAUUAUAGCAGACUUCACAAUUAGUUCAGUUGGCACAAUUAGUACCCUUGAUAUUGGAACAGCAAAUGCACAGGUUUCCGAAAUUCUCAA